GUAGGUGGCAAGCGUUGUCCGGAAUUAUUGGGCGUAAAGCGCGCGCAGGCGGUUCUUUAAGUCUGAUGUGAAAGCCCACGGCUCAACCGUGGAGGGUCAUUGGAAACUGGAGAACUUGAGUACAGAAGAGGAAAGCGGAAUUCCACGUGUAGCGGUGAAAUACGUAGAGAUGUGGAGGAACACCAGUGGCGAAGGCGGCUUUCUGGUCUGUAACUGACGCUGAGGCGCGAAAGCGUGGGGAGCAAACAGGGAUUAGAUACCCUGGUAGUCCACGCCGUAAACGAUGAGUGCUAAGUGUUAGGGGGUUUCCGCCCCCUUAGUGCUGCAGCUAACGCAUUAAGCACUCCGCCUGGGGAGUACGGCCGCAAGGCUG
rnacentral:rRNA from 1 species